rnacentral:lncRNA from 1 species
UAGUAGGAAAAACUAAAAACUAAUGGCUGCAUAGGGUCAAUUCGAGUCACUUGUGCCUGUUGAAUUUUUUUCUUCAAUUAAUUGAAGUCCCUCUAAUGCCUCUUUGGACAGGAAGCAUUUACUGUUUAAGUUAGAAUUACCUCGUAAGGUAGAAAAGAGGUAAGACAUAGCAAAAGUAGGAAUGCCUAAAGUGGGAUGAAUCCAGUUAAUGCCUCCUAACAAUUUUUGAAAAUCAUUUAGUUUUUUUUACUGAACAAUGGCAAUAUUUUUCAUUACUGCUUGAUUGUCUAUCUAAUCAGCCUCAAUUAGGGCCCAACCCCAUUAACUGCUCAAAGGAAACAGGCACAGGAGGCUGUGCUUGUGUGUUUUCCCUUGCCUGAGUUUGAGCUUCAUCAACCCACCAAGUUGUUGUUGUUGUUGUUGUUGUUGUUGUUGUUUGACGGAGUAUCGCUCUGUCUCCCAGGCUGGAGUGCAGUGGCGCAAUCUCGGCUCACUGCAAGCUCCGGCUCACUGCAAACUCCACCUCCCCGGUUCAUGCCAUUCUCCUGCCUCAGCCUCCCGAGUAGCUGGGACUACAGGCGCCCGCCACCACGCCCGGCUAAUUUUUGUAUUUUUAGUAGAGACAGGGUUUCACCUUAUUAGCCAGGAUGGUCUUGAUCUCCUGACCUCGUGAUCCGCCCACCUCGGCCUCCCAAAGUGUUGGGAUUACAGGCAUGAGCCACCGCACCCGGCCUCAGCCCACCAAGUUUUAAACUGUAAGUCCUGGGUCAGAGUGAGAACAGAUUUUGUUAAAGUAUCCCAGUCAUAUGGUAUUAAUCUAUUAUCAAGAGCCACAUUUUUUAGUAAAGUUUGUACAAAAGGAGAAUUUGGCCCAUAUUGACUAAUGGCUUAUUUAAAUUCCUUCAACAACUUAAAAGAAAAGUGGCCCAAUUAGCUAUAUGUUGCCCUCCUUGUUGGGUUAUAGUAAUGGGAAAUUGCCAUGCUUCUAGGUCUCCUUCAGCUCUGGCCUUCUGAAUAGAAUUUUGUAUGGCGCCACCAAUUGCUCCAGGUUUUAAUGUUGCAGCUACCAGAGCAGUAAGUUUUACAGCUAAUUCAUCUUCUCGCCCAUUAUGGGGAGAGGAAGGAGGUGGCCAUUUACUUAAUUCAGCAGGUGGAACUGACAGGCUAGUAAAAUAUACCUUUUUCAGCUUUCCUUUCUUUUCUUUAAUUUCCUCUGGUUCCUGUUCCUUACAUUCAGAAUCUGAAGGUAAUUUUUUACUCUCAUCUGCCUCUUUCUCAUCUGAAUCUGCCUCGCCAUCUGUUUGAAAUGGCUCAAGAGCUGCCUUUCUCAACGCCCACACUGACCAACAGAAACUGGAAUUCUGGCUCCUUCUUUAUGCACCUUUUUUAAAUCUCUGCCAAUUCUUUCCCAUUCAUCCAACUCCAUUGUCCCUUGUUCUGGGAACCAUGGGCAAAACUGCUCUACUGUACUAAAGAGUGUUAAUAAAUGUUGAGUACUAACUUUCACUCCUCCUCUCCAUAGUAAAUGCCUUAGAAAGUUUAAAUAGGCCAGGCACGGUGGCUCAUGCCUGUAAUCCCAGCACUUUGGGAGGCUGAGGUGGGCGGAUCACAAGGUCAGGAGAUCGAGACCAUCCUGGCUAACAAGGUGAAACCCCGUCUCUACUAAAAAUACAAAAAAUUAGCUGGGUGUCGUGGCGGGUGCCUGUAGUCUCAGGUACUCGGGAGGCUGAGGCAGGAGAAUGGCAUGAACCCGGGAGGCGGAGGUUGCAGCGAGCCAAGAUCACGCCACUGCACUUCAGCCUGGGCAACAGAGCAAGACUCCGUUUCAAAAAAAAAAAGAAAGAAAGAAAGUUUAAGCAGAAUGUUUACUUUCAUUUUGUCCCAUUGUUACCCUGGUUCUUCUGAGCGCCCAGCUUACCCACCGAGCUCCUUUCGGUCAUCCUCAGGUUUCCUUUGAUGAUGCGUCCUCCACUUCCACAUGCUCUAGCUACUGGGGUCUUCAUAGCCCCACGCUGGGCACCAGAAAUGUUGGGGUGAUCAGGCCCAACACCAGGCCAUGGGGGCUACAAAACCCAGCAGGAUCAAAGGAAUGAGAAAAGACAAGUUAAGAGUGCAUAAAGUAGGUCCAGGGGCCCAGCGCUAGAUUGGAGGCCGUGAAGGCCCCAAGCUCUGGGAUCUCACACUAUUUAUUGGUGAUCAAACAAAGAAGCAG